rnacentral:rRNA from 1 species
GACGAACGCUGGCGGCGUGCUUAACACAUGCAAGUCGAACGGAAAGGCCUGCUUUCCCUUGUGGAUUGCGGGUACUCGAGUGGCGAACGGGUGAGUAACACGUGAGUGAUCUGCCCCCAACUUGGGUAUAAGCCUGGGAAACUGGGUCUAAUUCCCGAUAGGACUGCAGGGUGGUGCCUGUGGUGGAAAACGAUUUUCUAGUGGUUGGGGAUGAGCUCGCGGCCUAUCGGCUUGUUGGUGGGGGAAUGGCCUACCAAGGCGGCGACGGGUAGCCGGCCGGGGAGGGUGGACGGCCACAUUGGGACUGAGAUACGGCCCAGACUCCUACGGGAGGCAGCAGUGGGGAAUAUUGCACAAUGGGCGGAAGCCUGAUGCAGCGACGCCGCGUGGGGGAUGACGGCCUUCGGGUUGUAAACUCCUUUCGACCGCGAGGAAGCCACCUGGUUGGAAGGGUGGUGACGGUAGUGGUAGAAGAAGCACCGGCUAACUACGUG